CAUGCAGUCCUCCUACUGGCCCUCGGAUGUGGGACUGUCACUGGGUCUCAUCGCCAAGAGGAGCUGGAGGGCCAGGCAGGCUGAGUUAGUCGCUAAAGGCACACAAAGCUGGUCAGUGGCGGGGCUGGAUUCAAACCUGGAUGUCUGACCCCAGAGCCUGAGUUGUCCAUGAGGGAGACCCUGAAUCCGCACACAGACAAAGAGAUCUGUGGCCUGUUGAACCCUUUCCUGCAGCGUACCCUCUAAGUUCAGGAUUAAACUACCUCACUUACUGCUUACCACGGGAGCCAUACAGCAGGCAUUCUGGUAUCAUCUCUAUUUACAGGAUAGGGACCGGGGGCUCAGAGGAGUUCAUUUGCCAGAUCACCCAGUGGGGACCCAAGCCAGCUCUGCCUGCAGCCCCAUGGCUGACCUGUCUUUAUAGGGGGCCUCCCCUGUCAUUUGCUUCUCUGAAGAGCAUUUCUCUCCAUUUUCUAGAAUGAGAAGAGCAGGAAGGCCUGUUUCUGUUGGCUCGGGUGGGCCGUGGGGCGGAGGCCUGGCUGUGUCUUUGCAGUGUGGCUUUGAUGCUCCCUGGAGGAAGCAGUGUGCGUGGUGGAGGAGAUGGAAGCUUCCAGAAGGGAGGACACCUGAGGCAGUCUGACUGCCCAUAAGCCAGGGACACAAAUAGUUCUCUGAGGGAGGCCAAGGAAAGAACACAGAUGUGGACAGAAUUCUGGGGUGGGGACAGUCACCAGAGCUCCCUGGUGCUCUGAGGUCCCUCGAGGGAGGGGGCUGGGGACAGGAAGUCUUGGCCUUGUUUUUGAGUGUCUCUUGUGUCUGUGUUGGGCUGUGUCCCUUGAGGAGCCAUGGAGUGGGGACUGGCUCUGUUUGUAUCUUCAGCAAUGGAUCCAGCAGAGAAGAUGCCCAGGCUUCCAGACACCCUUGGCCACUCCAGGUUCCCAGAGCCUUCAGAAAUUCUCCGAAUCGCCUUGUGGCUCACCGGUUAUCGCGCUCACCACAGCACGCUCGCUCGCGUGAACCUCUGGGCCUAAACCGCAAGGCAACUCGGGCGCAUCAGCGACUUCUGCUCCAUCCUGGGGCCCCUUCCCCUCUCCUCCCACAGCCCAGCUGGGCCCACCAAGCUUCUCUUUCCGUCUUUGCUUCUAAAUCUUAGAAAUGGAAGUGAAGCAGAGCCAGG
rnacentral:lncRNA from 1 species